GUUGGGAGCGGGAGAUUGACUACAGUUUCAAUCUAUUUCCAUCCAUCAACAUUUAAACCAUCUCGGUGGAGAAAUUUCUUAAUCAGUAACUGCAGAAUUCAAGAGGAUUACAACAGUCAGUCUGGUGUCGAGGUUCUUCUCUGGGCUGGAUACUAACUCUUCAGACUUUAUCAGAGUGUUUGGCAAGAAAGGUGGCACUCAAGGAAGAAAGAUCAGGAGCAUAAUGGUUCCCUUAUUCCAGCAUACUUUCACUGAGACUCCUCAGACCAACAUCAUUGAUGUCAGAAAAGAGUGUAUCCUCAAAGCCGUGUGCGUGUACCUCAACGAAGAGCCCGAGAAGCUAGUGAAAGAUUACAUGGACGCAGAUGUUCUAACGCCAGGCUGAAAUGAAGGAGAUGAUCUUGGAAUCUAUGCAAUUCGAAAAGAGGGUGCAGCGCAAGAGGAUAACCCAGACGAUGUGGGUAUCAUCUUGGAGGGUGUCCAAGUUCUGGAUGAAAUGGGGAAUGUCCCAUUUUCUGUUGCGAUGCUGUUCGCUCUGGUCUACGCACUCAACCUGAGCUACCCUUCAGAGCUAAGAUACACCUUCGAAGUUCUGCAGAAGAUCAUCAUGGAGCUUGAUGGAAACCGACUCUCAAGAAAAGCUCAAGCACUGAAAACCCUGCUUUCACGUACGUGAUCCACUGUAGAGUGACCAAAAGGUCAACUGUUGCUGUUUGAGAGAAAGGAUUUUGGCUUGAAGUGUUCCUCAGAGAAACUAAAAAUGAACAGAGUAUUUUCAAAAGAAACUGUUUCAUAUAGAUUUAGUUCUGCUUAGUACUGCACAACAACAAAUCACAAAACACAACAACAUUUGUUGUUGUGUUUUCUGAUUUGCCUUUGUGAUUUGCACUUCAGGGCAACCGUAGGUUUCCAUAUUAGAUGAUUGACACUUAAUGGUGCACUGUUAAAUGGUUUUGUACUUAAAGUCUUAGCAAAAAAGCAUUUAUUUUAAUGGCUACCAAGUCAAGAUCCAUUUUCAACCGAAGCUUCUGCCUGAUUUUCUUCUUAAUAAAUUUUAUAUAAUGGAAACAUUUUGGAUGUUUAGGCUGAAUGUGAGAGGUUAACAGGGGGCAGGUUCAGACAGUGGUCCCCAGUUUUGUGAUUUUCUUGCUUGUCUGCUUAUUUUUUUAAACAGAUAGCAUAAUGCACAAUCUGUCAGCAUUUCAAAGGUUGAAUCCGGUUGCUGUAU